ensembl:snRNA U1 U1 spliceosomal RNA
AAACUUACCUGGCUGGGUGGGGAGUACAAUGAUCACAAAGGUAGUUUUCCCAGGGCGAGGCUGAUGCAUUGCACUCUGAAUGUACUGACCCCUGUGAUUUCCCCAAAUUAGGGAAACUCAACUGCAUUUGUGGUAGCAGAGGACUGCAUUCAUUCUUUCCCCUG